rnacentral:rRNA from 1 species
CACAGGCGCGAAAACUCUGCAAUAGGCGAAAGCUUGACAGGGUUACUCUGAGUGAUGCCCGCUAAGGGCAUCUUUUGGCACCUCUAAAAAUGGUGCAGAAUAAGGGGUGGGCAAGUCUGGUGUCAGCCGCCGCGGUAAUACCAGCACCCCGAGUGGUCGGGACGAUUAUUGGGCCUAAAGCAUCCGUAGCUUGU